rnacentral:rRNA from 1 species
UACAGAGGUCCCAAGCGUUGUUCGGAUUCAUUGGGCGUAAAGGGCGCGUAGGCGGGAUGGCAAGUCGGUCGUGAAAUCCCUCGGCUCAACUGAGGAGCGUCGAUCGAAACUGCCGUUCUUGAGGGUUGCAGAGGAGACUGGAAUUCCCGGUGUAGCGGUGAAAUGCGCAGAUAUCAGGAGGAACACCGGUGGCGAAGGCGCCACUCUGGGGCCGGUACUGACGCUGAGGAGCGAAAGCGUGGGUAGCAAACAGG